AUUGAACGCUGGCGGCAGGCCUAACACAUGCAAGUCGAACGAGUGGCGGACGGGUGAGUAAUGUCUGGGAAACUGCCUGAUGGAGGGGGAUAACUACUGGAAACGGUAGCUAAUACCGCAUACCAUCAGAUGUGCCCAGAUGGGAUUAGCUAGUUGGUGGGGUAACGGCUCACCAGGGCGACGAUCCCUAGCUGGUCUGAGAGGAUGACCAGCCACACUGGAACUGAGACACGGCCCAAACUCCUACGGGGGGCAGCAGUGGGGAAAAUUGCACAAUGGGCGAAAGCCUGAUGCAGCCAUGCCGCGUGUAUGAAAAAGGCCUUCGGUUUGUAAAGUACUUCCAGCGGGGAGGCGUUACCAGCAGAAGAAGCACCGGCUAACUCCGUGCCAGCAGCCGCGGUAAUA
rnacentral:rRNA from 1 species